AGAGUUUGAUCCUGGCUCAGAAUGAACGCUAGCGGCGUGCCUUAUGCAUGCAAGUCGAACGGUUCCGAUUUAUCGGGAUAGUGGCGAACGGGUGAGUAACGCGUAAGUAACCUGCCCUCAAGUAGGGGAUAACUCUGAGAAAUUGGAGCUAAUACCUUAUGUGGUGAUGGAGAUAGUACUUCAUCACUAAAGCCUUAGGGCGCUUGAGGAUGGGCUUGCGUCCGAUUAGCUAGUUGGUAGGGUAAUGGCUUACCAAGGCGACGAUGGGUAGCUGGUCUGAGAGGAUGAUCAGCCACACUGGGACUGAGAUACGGCCCAGACUCCUAUGGGAGGCAGCAGUGAGGAAUAUUGCGCAAUGGGCGAAAGCCUGACGCAGCAACGCCGCGUGGGGGAUGAAGGUGGUUUCCAUUGUAAACCCCUGUAGGGAGGGACGAACAAGCUGGUUUUGCCGGCUUUGACGGUACCUCCAAAGUAAGCACCGGCUAACUCCGUGCCAGCAGCCGCGGUAAUACGGAGGGUGCAAGCGUUGUCCGGAUUUACUGGGUGUAAAGGGCGUGUAGGCGGAGAGAUUUGUCGGAAGUGAAAUCGUGCGGCUUAACCGUAGCAAUUGCUUCCGAAACGGUCUCCCUUGAGUGCGAGAGGGGCAGAUGGAAUUCCAGGUGUAGUGGUGGAAUGCGUAGAUAUCUGGAAGAACACCAGUGGCGAAGGCGGUCUGCUGGCUCGUAACUGACGCUGAGGCGCGAAAGUGUGGGGAGCAAACAGGAUUAGAUACCCUGGUAGUCC
rnacentral:rRNA from 1 species